rnacentral:rRNA from 1 species
ACGGAAGGCAGCAGUGGGGAAUAUUGGACAAUGGGGGAAACCCUGAUCCAGCGACGCCGCGUGAGUGAAGAAGUAUUUCGGUAUGUAAAGCUCUAUCAGCAAGGAAGAAAAUGACGGUACUUGACUAAGAAGCUCCGGCUAAAUACGUGCCAGCAGCCGCGGUAAUACGUAGGUGGCAAGCGUUGUCCGGAUUUACUGGGUGUAAAGGGCGCGUAGGCGGGAUAGCAAGUCAGGUGUGAAAUCCAUGGGCUCAACCCAUGAACUGCACUUGAAACUGUUAUUCUUGAGUGUCGGAGAGGUAGAUGGAAUUCCUAGUGUAGCGGUGAAAUGCGUAGAUAUUAGGAGGGACACCAGUGGCGAAGGCGAUCUACUGGACGAUAACUGACGCUGAGGCGCGAAAGCGUGGGGAGCAAACAGGAUUAGAUAGCCUGGUA